UUAUUUGAGGAUUUGAUCCUGGUCCAGGAUGAACGCUGGCGGCGUGGAUAAGGCAUGCAAGUCGAACGAUUCGUGCGUUGAAGUCGUUGCGAUUACAUCAAGACGGCGGAUGCGCGCGAGUAGUGGCGAACGAGUUAGUAACGCCUUGGUACGUACCCUCGAGACGGGCAUAACUCGCCGAAAGGCGAGCUAAUUCCCGAUGGUCACUGAGAGCACAAGCUCGAAGUGUAAAUCCCGCAAGGGGCUCGAGGAUCGGCCUAGGUCCUAUCAGCUAGUUGGUGAGGUAAUGGCUCACCAAGGCGACGACGGGUAGGGGGGGUGAGAGCCCGUUCCCCAACGACGCAACUGAGACACGGUGCGUACUCCUACGGGAGGCAGCAGUCGAGAAUAUUCGACAAUGGGCGAAAGCCUGAUCGAGCGACGCCGCGUGCAGGAUGACAGCCUUCGGGUUGUAAACUGCUUUUCUGAGGGAAGAAGUACCGACAUUUAUGUCGGUAUUGACGGUACCUCGGGAAUAAGGGGCUGCUAACUUCGUGCCAGCAGCCGCGGUAAUACGAAGGCCCCAAGCGUUAUCCGGAUUUAUUGGGCGUAAAGGGCGCGUAGGGGGCUCGGCAAGUCCUUCGGUUAAAUCGGAGUGCUCAACACUCCGGCCGCCGGGGAAACUAUCGAGCUAGAGGACGUUAGAGGGAGAUAGAACGCACGGUGUAGGGGUGAAAUCCGUUGAUAUCGUGCGGAAUACCAAAGGCGAAGGCAUUCUCCUGGGACGUUCCUGACCCUGAGGCGCGAAAGCGUGGGGAGCAAAAAGGAUUAGAUACCCUUGUAGUCCACGCCCUAAACGAUGCUGAUAAGCUGUCUCGAGUAUCGACCCUCGGGGUGGCGUAGCUAACGCGUUAAAUCAGCCGCCUGGGAAGUACGAGCGCAAGCUUAAAACUCAAAGGAAUAGACGGGGACUCGCACAAGCGGUGGAGCAUGAGGUUUAAUUCGACGGUAAACGAGAAACCUUACCAGGGCUUGAAAUGUUUACGAAGACGGUCCGAAAGGAUCGUCGUCCGAGGUUUACUUUGGACGUAAGCACAGGUGCUGCAUGGUUGUCGUCAGCAUGUGCCGUGAGGCGCUCCCUUAAAUGGGGUAACAUGCGCAACCCUUGCCCCGUGUUACAAGUGUCACGGGGGACUGCCGUCCUAUAGACGGAGGAAGGUGAGGAUGACGCCAAAUCCGCAUGGCCCUUUGAUGCCCUGGGCUACACUCAUGCUACAAUGGCCGGUACAACGGGUCGCGAAGCCGCAAGGCGGAGCCAAUCCUUAAAAAACCGGCCCCAGUUCGGAUUGAGGUCUGCAACUCGACCUCAUGAAGUUGGAAUCGCUAGUAAUCGCGGAUCAUCAGGCCGCGGUGAAUACGUUCUCGAGUCCUGUACUCACCGCCCGUCACGUCAGGGGAGCUGGGAGUGGGUGAAGCCUCGCGAGGGGUCAGCCCAAGCUCGGUGACACGGACGAAGUCGUAACAAGGCACGGGUAGCGGAAGCUGUUCGUGGAUCUAGUACACU
rnacentral:rRNA from 1 species